CAAUAGCGUAUAUUAAAGUUGUUGCAGUUAAAAAGCUCGUAGUUGGAUUUCUGCUGAGGACGAUCGGUCCGCCCACUGGGUGAGUAUCUGGCUCGGCCUUGGCAUCUUCUUGGAGAACGUUGCUGCACUUGACUGUGUGGCGCGGUAUCCAGGACUUUUACUUUGAGGAAAUUAGAGUGUUUCAAGCAGGCGCACGCCUUGAAUACAUUAGCAUGGAAUAAUGAGAUAGGACCUUGGUUCUAUUUUGUUGGUUUCUAGAGCUGAGGUAAUGAUUAAUAGGGAUAGUUGGGGGCAUUCGUAUUUAACUGUCAGAGGUGAAAUUCUUGGAUUCGUUAAAGAUGGACUACUGCGAAAGCAUUUGCCAAGGAUGUUUUCAUUGA
rnacentral:rRNA from 1 species